AGGAUAAACGCUGGCGGCGUGCCUAACACAUGCAAGUCGAACGUCCUACGCGCAAGCGUAGGGAGUGGCGGACGGGUGAGUAACACGUGGGCAAUCUACCUUUCGGUGAGGAAUACCGGCGAGAAAUCGCCGACAAGACCGCAUACGCUUCGAGAGAAGCAAAGUCGCAAGACGCCGGAGGAGGAGCCUGCGCCCGAUUAGCUAGUUGGUGAGGUAAGAGCUUACCAAGGCGACGAUCGGUAGCUGGUCUGAGAGGAUGAUCAGCCACACUGGGAUUGAGAACGGCCCAGACUCCUACGGGGGGCAGCAGUGAGGAAUUUUCGUCAAUGGGGGCAACCCUGAACGAGCAACGCCGCGUGCAGGAUGACGCUUUUCGGAGUGUAAACUGCUUUUCGUCGGGGAAGAGCAAGGGACGGUACCCGAGGAACUCACGCCCCGGACUAACUACGCGCCAGCAGCCGC
rnacentral:rRNA from 1 species